rnacentral:rRNA from 1 species
AUUGAACGCUGGCGGCAGGCCUAACACAUGCAAGUCGAGCGGAACGGCGGGCGGGUGAGUAAGGCAUAGGAAUCUGCCUGGUAGUGGGGGAUAACGUCCGGCAAGGGGCGCUGAUAAAGAAUGCUAUCAGAUGAGCGUAGGUGGGAUUAGCUAGUUGGUGGGGUAAAGGCCUACCAAGGCGACGAUCCGUAACUGGUCUGAGAGGAUGAUCAGUCACACUGGAACUGAGACACGGCCCAGACUCCUACGGGAGGCAGCAGUGGGGAAUAUUGGACAAUGGGCGAAAUCCUGAUCCAGCCAUGCCGCGUGUGUGAAGAAGGUCUUCGGGUUGUAAAGCACUUUCAGUUGGGAGGCGUUACCAACAGAAUAAGCACCGGCUAACUUCGUGCCAGCAGCCGCGGUAAUAC